CUCAGGGCGGGGUGCAAGUCCCCACCGGCGGUGAUGGGCGUGGUCGUGUGGGCCGCGUCACGAGCCCGCGAGCGCCUCAGACGAGGGUCAGCAGAACCGGUGAGGAUCCGGUGCCGACGGUAACAGUCCGGAUGAAAGAGU
rnacentral:ncRNA from 1 species